rnacentral:misc_RNA from 1 species
UUUUAUGCGAUUUAUUAAUACAGUUAUAGACAACUGCAAACCAAUGCUUCUAGAUCAACCAAAUUUUCCCUAUAUUGACAACUAAAAGAUGGCCAAAUCAGUUUUAUUGAAUAGCUAAGUAAACAAGUUCUCAUUAAAAUAAGUCAUGUAUGCAGCAAAGCAUGCCACAUGAGGUUGGAAUCUUAAAACUUGCAUGUUCUCUAGAAACAGCAAUGACAAAGAAUCAACAAUAUCUCAUCACGUGCAGUAGGUUUCUAUUCAAAUCAGAGAUCUCCAUGAACAUAAGCAGCAAAUAACCCAUUCAUCCACAUGUAGCGUUCACCAUAUAACUAUUAAUGCAACAGGUACACUUCCAUAUAUGUCAAACUCCAAAGUCAUUAACGAUUUAACGUGAUUUCCCAACAUAGAUGAUUUUUCAAUCAAAAUUUCCCAUUUCCCCCAUAGUUAACCCACACCAAGAAA